rnacentral:tRNA from 1 species
GCCUUGCUGGCACAGUGGUUAAAUGCUGGUGCUGCAGCCACAAGGUUGUAAGUUCAAUCCUAGAGGAGGGCU